rnacentral:pre_miRNA from 1 species
UGAUAAGGAUGUGGAUGAUGAUGAUGAUGAUGAUGAUGAUCAUCAUCAUCAUCAUCAUCAUCAUCAUGGUAG